rnacentral:misc_RNA from 1 species
AACGCACCUUGCACCCUUUGGUAUUCCGAAGGGUAUGCCUGUUUGAGUGUCAUUAAAUUCUCAAACCUGCUAGUCUUUAUUGAUUACGUAGGCUUUGGAUGUGGGAGUUGCUGGCCUAACAUUCGGCUCUCCUUAAAUAUAUUAGUGGCUUGUCGAUCCCCAUUCACUUGGUGUGAUAGUAAUAUCUACAUUGAGGAUGGCUAGGUCAUGUUAUGGCAACUGCUUUCUAACAGUCCUUUACUGGACAAUUUGAACCAUUUGACCUCAAAUCAGGUAGGACUACCCGCUGAACUUAA